AAAGGCUAAAUUUGAAAGCGGUUUAGGAAGGAGAAGCCAUCCGACGAUUUAUUUUGCUACAUCAAAGCGGCAAUCUCCCUACGCGACCCGGAGUAUGUUUCUUCAGUCCCUUUCGGCGGCAAGGUAAUUUAAUUUCUCUGUUCUGUUCUAUGCCUCACAAUUGAUAUAUUCUUCAUCUCUUUCACAAUUUAAUCCAAUUUUGCCGUUCCUCCGUUGAUGAUAUGAAUUCGUGAGAGCCCGAAUCCAGGAGGGGCUUUAGAGACGGUGAAUGGAGUGAGAAGCUGGUUUGAAUUGGAUUCGAUAUUCUAAUGGCCAUUUUAGAAGGAUUGCAGAAAAAUGUUAAGGUGGAUUUGAAAAAGUGAAGUGGAGCACUUUUUACUUUCUUUCUGUUGCAGUUUUCCCCACCAGCCAGUAGCCAUAACAGUAUUAGAUGCUUUGCAGAUUCCAGGUUCUCAUAGCAUUCAACCAUCCAUCAGGGUGGGGCCAGAAAUUUUUAAAGGGAGCAGCGAAAUUUCACUUUGGAGCUUUUUUUUUGUACAAUCAUUCACUCAUCUAAGUUUAGGGGGUACAAGUUAGAGAUAAAACUUUGAAAUUUUUGUGUAGUUUUUUUCUAAACUAAGAUGGACUGUUACCCCUUCGACCCUUUGUACGCUUCUUUGCUCGCUCUGUCCCUGCCAUCCUUAACUUAUAUGAUAAAUGUUAGCCCCAGAUUAUUGGUAUGAAAAUUCCAGUGAAUUGGGAUUAGGAAUAUAUGAACCCCUAAUUCACAAAUACUAAAACUCUCAGAUCGAUUCGAUUUCAACCCUAAAGUGGGUUAGACCCAGAUUACCUUGAGAUCAAAGCUCUUGAAAUAAAGAACCGGUUCCUUGGUUUAAUAGUUGAACACUUCACAAGAUAGGAUGAUGAAUCCUACUUGGAUGUUCUUGACAUGCAAUUCAAAGAAACAAAUUGCAAAAGGUUCAAGCUCCCCACUAAACUAGAAAGGAAAAGCUCGAUGGCUAAUUCAUUGUUAAAACUGAUCUAUUUGUAAAACAACCUAAUGGCAAGAUUCUAGUUAGCCUCCCAACUAAUUCCGAACUGCCACAUCAUAAAUCAUAUCAAAAAGAAAAACACAUCCCUUCUUAAUAUGCUCUAAAAGGAUAACAGUUAGAAAGCAAUAAAAUUUCAUUAAAACUAUUGAAUAAAACAUAGAUAAUAAUUUGAAGUCCUACGAGGGCUCAUAUCAAUUACUGUAAGGACAAUAUAUCCUAACUAGCUAUGGAAUCCAUUAUUAAACUAACAUGAAUUGAUCUAACAUUUCUGUGUUUUAUCCCUUUUUCAAGAGAAAUUUUGCGGAAAUUUGUAUGAURCUAUUAAAGUAAAAAAUUUGUUAGCCACAAUUUGACAAAAGUUAGCUAAGUUCAUGUCAGUUAAAAUGGAUUCUAAAGUUGAGCUAGAAUCUAUCGUCGGCAUGUUACACCCUAGGUGGUAUGGGAUAACUUGGGGCGGGUYGUGUCAUUUGCCUAUAGCACACCACAUAUCUUUAUAUCCUAUAUGAGGCCUAUAUGAGUUUUUAUCAAAGAGCAGAGGAAUCUAUGCUCAAGUUACAUCAGUCUUCUCUGAUAGCAAUACACCAGAAACACAUGAAGUGCAUUUUGUGUUUGGAAAGAUAGAUAAGAAGGUCCUUUCUUCUUGUCCAAAAACUCAUUGGGUUACAAAAAUCAUAUGCAAAAUCAAGUUAGCUUUUCUUUCAUGGCGGUGUUGAAAACAUUGUAAUUUAUGCAGUAUUCAGGAUCAGUUUAUAGCGGAUUAACUGGAGGACGAGGUGAAAGAUGCUGCUCGAAAGCGGUUCGAGUUACUUUCUCUCAUGGCAACAUUGACAACAUAGAAUCGAUGCAUUGAUGUUUUGAGUAAAGAAACAGGAAAGUUCCUUUCUCUAAAUCUCAUGGUGUGAAGCGAGAGAGACUUCAAAACUUUUGGUGGCGGUAGAACUUAUAAGUACAGUUGACAUAAGUUUUCAUUUAAGAUUUAAAUCUCUGUAUCUUUGUAUAUCUUUUGUAGAAAAACAAGUCAUUCAAUAAAUUGAAUGUUGUAAAUGAAGUUAU